rnacentral:rRNA from 1 species
GAGUUUGAUCAUGGCUCAGAUUGAACGCUGGCGGCAGGCCUAACACAUGCAAGUCGAGCGGAUGAAGGGAGCUUGCUCCUGGAUUCAGCGGCGGACGGGUGAGUAAUGCCUAGGAAUCUGCCUGGUAGUGGGGGAUAACGUCCGGAAACGGGCGCUAAUACCGCAUACGUCCUGAGGGAGAAAGUGGGGGAUCUUCGGACCUCACGCUAUCAGAUGAGCCUAGGUCGGAUUAGCUAGUUGGUGGGUAAAGGCCUACCAAGGCGACGAUCCGUAACUGGUCUGAGAGGAUGAUCAGUCACACUGGAACUGAGACACGGUCCAGACUCCUACGGGAGGCAGCAGUGGGGAAUAUUGGACAAUGGGCGAAAGCCUGAUCCAGCCAUGCCGCGUGUGUGAAGAAGGUCUUCGGAUUGUAAAAGCACUUUAAGUUGGAAGGAAGGGCAGUAAGUUAAUACCUUGCUGUUUGACGUUACCAACAGAAUAAGCACGGCUAACUUCGUGCCAGCAGCCGCCG